AUGCUGCUGGGGGACGCCUCUCCGUGGAGCAUCGCCGGCGCGGCGGCGGCCGUGGCGCUACUGUCGUUAGCCGCCUGGAUUCUGGAGUGGGCAUGGUGGACGCCGCGGCGGCUGGGCAGGGCUCUGCGGGCCCAGGGCCUCAGGGGCACCCGGUACCGCCUCUUCAGCGGCGACGCACCGGAGGACGCCCGGCUCAACAGAGAGGCCCGAUCACAGCCCAUGCCGCUCGGCUCCCACGACAUCAUCCCUCGUGUGCACCCCAUGCUCUGCAACGCCGUUAAGGAGCACGGGAAAAUGCCAUUCACUUGGUUUGGCCCAACGCCAAGGGUGAUGAUUUCUGACCCGGAUCUAGUGAGAGAAAUUCUGUCUAACAAGCUUGGACACUAUAGGAAACAAAGGAGCAGCCGUAUGGGGAAGCUGCUAGCCGACGGAGUUGCAAAUCAUGAAGGCGAGAAAUGGACAAAGCACCGAAGAAUCCUCAAUCCUGCCUUUCAUCAUGAGAAGAUAAAGAGGAUUCUGCCAGUUUUUUCUACCUGUUGCGAAGAAAUGGUUGCAAGGUGGGAGAAUUCCAUGUCCGGUGAAGGGUUAUCAGAGAUUGACACAUGUUCUGAGUUUCAGAAUCUUACUGGAGAUGUCAUCGCGAGAACAUCAUUUGGUAGCAAUUAUCAGGAAGGGAAGAAAAUAUUCGAGCUGCAAGGGGAGUUAGCUAAACGACUAAUGCAGGCUUUUCAGACAAUGUUUAUCCCAGGCUAUUGGUUCUUACCAACAAAAAAUAAUAGAAGGAUGAGAGCAAUUGAUCAUGACAUCCGCAUGAUUAUGCGAGGAAUUAUUGGAAAAAAAGAAAGAGCUAUUAAAAAUGGUGAAGCCAGCAGCAAUGACUUGCUAGGAUUGCUGUUGGAGUCAAAUAUGCAACAAUCAAAUGGGAAGGCAGGCCAAGGGAUGAGUAUUGAUGAUAUAAUUGAGGAAUGCAAGCUGUUUUACUUUGCAGGUAUGGAGACAACAUCGGUCUUGCUCACAUGGACACUAAUUGUGCUAAGCAUGCACCCGGAGUGGCAAGAGCUGGCAAGAGAGGAAGUGUUGCAUCACUUCGGAAGAACCACACCAGAUUAUGAGCACCUGAGUCGCCUGAAGAUUGUAACAAUGAUUCUGUAUGAGGUUCUUAGGCUGUACCCGCCGGUAACCUAUCUUACCAGAAGAACUUACAAGGCAACGGAGCUUGGCGGCAUCAAAUAUCCUACAGGAGUGACCCUUAUCUUGCCCCUUCUCUUUAUCCACCAUGAUCCCGAUAUUUGGGGAGAGGAUGCAAGUGAGUUCAAUCCACAGAGGUUUGCUGAUGGCAUCUCGAGCGCGGCAAAGCAUCCGUCGGCGUUCUUUCCGUUUGGAGGGGGUCCUCGGAUCUGCAUCGGCCAGAACUUUGCGUUGCUGGAAGCUAAGAUGGCACUGAGCACCAUCCUCCAGCGCUUCUCGUUUGAGCUCUCGCCGUCCUACACCCACGCGCCGUACACCGUGAUGACCCUCCAGCCACAGCACGGUGCUCAAAUUAGGCUGAGGAAGAUAUGA
rnacentral:rRNA from 1 species